GUUGGCUAUGGAGACACCUACCCGGUUACUCUUGGAGGGAAGAUCAUUGGCACAACGUGCAUCAUCUGUGGAAUAUUAGUGGUAGCUCUUCCCAUCACGAUCAUUUUCAACAAG